rnacentral:tRNA from 1 species
GGGGCUGUAGUUCAGUGACAGAACACUUGCCUAGUAUGCAUGAGGCACAGGGUUCGAUUCUCAGCACCU